rnacentral:rRNA from 1 species
UCUUCUGUGACUGGAGUUCAGACGUGUGCUCUUCCGAUCAGGCCCUACGGGGCGCAGCAGUCGCGAAAACUUCGCAAUAAGCGAAAGCUUGACGGGGCCAUCCCGAGUGCCAUCUGCUGAGGAUGGCUUUUACCCAGUGUAGAUAGCUGGGGGAAUAAGGAGAGGGCAAGUCUGGUGUCAGCCGCCGCGGUAAUACCAGCUCUCCGAGUUGUGGGGACGUUUAUUGAGCCUGAAGCAUCCGUAGCCGGCUGGGCAAGUCCCCUGUUAAAUCCAGCGAUAAAUCGUUGGCGUGCGGGGGAUACUGCUCGGCUAGGGGGCGGGAGAGGCCGUCGGUAUUCUUGGGGUAGGGGUGAAAUCCUAUAAUCCCAGGAGGACCACCAGUGGCGAAGGCUGUCGGCUAGAACGCGCUCGACGGUGAGGGAUGAAAGCUGGGGGAGCGAACCGGAUUAGAUACCCGGGUAGUCCCAGCUGUAAACGAUGCAGGCUAGGUGUUAGGGCGGCUACGUGCCGCUCUAGUGCCGCAGGGAAGCCGUUAAGCCUGCCGCUUGGGGAGUACGGCCGCAAGGCUGAAACUUAAAGGAAUUGGCGGGGGAGCACCACAAGGGGUGAAGCUUGCGGUUUAAUUGGAGUCAACGCCGGAAAUCUUACCGGGGGCGACAGCAGGAUGAAAGCCAGAUUAAAGGUCUUGCCAGACGAGCUGAGAGGAGGUGCAUGGCCGUCGCCAGUUCGUGCCGUGAGGUGUCCUGUUAAGUCAGGCAAGAUCGGAAGAGCGUCGUGUAGGGAAAGAGUGU